AUGUACCCACGUACACUCCGGUCCCUCUGCGCCGUCCGCACCCACCUGACGACUGCUCGCUACGUUUUGUUAGCC
rnacentral:sRNA from 2 species